UACGUAGGGUGCGAGCGUUAAUCGGAAUUACUGGGCGUAAAGCGUGCGCAGGCGGUUUUGUAAGCCAGAUGUGAAAUCCCCGGGCUCAACCUGGGAAUGGCAUUUGUGACUGCAUAGCUAGAGUACGGUAGAGGGGGAUGGAAUUCCGCGUGUAGCAGUGAAAUGCGUAGAUAUGCGGAGGAACACCGAUGGCGAAGGCAAUCCCCUGGACCUGUACUGACGCUCAUGCACGAAAGCGUGGGGAGCAAACAGG
rnacentral:rRNA from 1 species